rnacentral:rRNA from 1 species
UGGGGAAUCUUCCGCAAUGGACGAAAGUCUGACGGAGCAACGCCGCGUGAGUGAAGAAGGCCUUCGGGUUGUAAAGCUCUGUGAUUCAGGAAGAAUGGGCUAUGUGUGAACAAUGCAUAGCCGUGACGGUACUGAAAGAGGAAGCCACGGCUAACUACGUGCCAGCAGCCGCGAUAAUACGUAGGUGGCGAGCGUUGUCCGGAAUUAUUGGGCGUAAAGAGCGCGUAGGCGGGAAAAGAAGUCCACUUUAAAAGUGCGGGGAUCAGCCCCGUGAGGGGUGGAAACUCUUUUCUUGAGUGCCGGAGAGGAAAGCGGAAUUCCCAGUGUAGCGGUGAAAUGCGUAGAUAUUGGGAGGAACACCAGUGGCGAAGGCGGCUUUCUGGACGGUGUCUGACGCUG